UUCCUCGGGUUCAUCAGACCAGGUUCAGUCUUCCUCUGGCGUUGGUGUGUGUUCCUUCAUCUCCGGCCAAAAACACCAAAUUUAAGAUCACUGUGGAUACCAACCAGCCUCCGAUUGAGCUCAGCUCCAUCUUCCCAGAGUUUGCAGCAAAAUCUGAAGAUAAGGAUGCUAACGGUUUGGCUUUCCAGUUCCUGUCAGGAGCCAAAGUCACCGUUCUGGCCUCUAAGACUUCCCAGCGUUACCGUCUUCAGAGCGACACUUUUGAGGACAUCUGGUUGGUGGUGAAGGAGCUGGUCCAGAGAUUUGACAAACAUUUCCACAAACUGGGAGUCAAAGACUUUAAGAAAAGCUUCAGUGGGCCGCUCCCGCUGCAGGACUACUUCCUGUCUGUAGACCAGCACUUCCAGCUGCGUGUCGGUGCUCAGCAGUACCAGGACCUGCUGUCAGAGC